ensembl:lncRNA
UUGGGGUUUCAAAAAAAUAAUAAUAAUAAUUUCCAAGAUGCUGUUUGUUACUUUUGCUGUUGUUUUUUUGUUUGUUUGUUUUUCUUUUAAGGUGGUGUACCCCAUUUUACAAUGAUUUUACAAACGUUUUGUGUUCUUCUGUUGUCACUGAAACCCGUUGGAGUGUCCAUACACGCUCGAACAGCUGCGUACACCUACAGCCCUCGGGUGAUGCAUGGUACAUAAAUCACAUGGUCUUUUCUAGAUCGGUGUGGUUUCUAGUCUCUCUGUUUGCUCUCUUCUAAAGAAAACCUCAUACAAACAAUAUACUCUGUAGAGAAUGCAGAGCUUUAUCUAAAAUUGUUCGCAUUAUUAUUAUUAUUAUUAUUAUUAUUAUUAUUAUAUGUAACUUAUGUCUCUGAUUUUGAUUAGGACAAGCUGACCAAUAAUGUUCAGUUAUAGACAAGGUCAAACCACGUAGCAUCAACCAGUAUUAACACCAUGUGAGACACUUGCUAAAAGACUAAAGUGAUCCUCACUUAUUGAUAAAUUAUUCUUUAAUAUGUAUUUUGAUUAUUAUUAUUAUUAUUAUUAUUAUUAUUAUUGUUGUUGUUGUUGGGUUCUUUUGGGUGGGUUUUUGAGUGAAAAUUUCUACUGAUGGCCUUAUCUUAGAUUUCCUGUUUCAUUUCUCUCGGUUUGACUCCAGCACUCGCCCACAUUUGGUGUAAAGCUGUAUGCACCUACACUCCCAUUUGAUUCUGUGGUUAAAUAUGACACACAUUUUAUUUAUAGAAAAAAAAAAAAAAAAAAGUGUAAAUUUAAUAUUUCAGCAGACCACACAGCCUGUGUAUUUGUUUAAACUUUGAGGCGUACCUGUGUACAUAACUUUGUAAAAACACUGAGGAAAAUUAAAACUAACUUAUUUAUGUCCAGGGGUUUUUUUUGUUUUGUUUUUGUUUUGUUUUUAAUCUAAAAAUGUGUGGUCAUGGUUAUUCAAAGUCCAAAGUGGCAUUUGAGUUGUUUUUUAAAAUGCUUUUUAAAUAUUUUAACAGAUUGUUGUGUAAGGUUGCAAACUGAGCCUGGUUUAAAAAAAAAAAAAAAGAGAAGAAAAGGAAAGAAAAAAGUAAUAUUGUUGUAUGUGCAGUUUUUGUUAUGAUUGGUUAUAUAAUGUGCUGAAAUCAAUUAAAAGAGAAUUAAAUUAUAAUGGGUAUUUGAAUUUCUUAUGAAUUGCUUGUGGGUUUUUUUUUGUUUUUGAGUGGUUGCAUAUGGGGGGAAAACCUUUCAUGUGGUGA